GGCAGUGUGGUGUAGUGGUAAUGAGUAGGGCUCGUGACCUAAAGGUUGCUGGUUCAAUUCCCCACUCGGGCACUGCUG